rnacentral:rRNA from 1 species
GACGUAGGGCGCGAGCGUUGUCCGGAUUUAUUGGGCGUAAAGAGCUCGUAGGCGGCUUGUCGCGUCAACUGUGAAAACCCGUGGCUCAACCAUGUGGUCUGCAGUCGAUACGGGCAGGCUAGAAUUCGGUAGGGGAGACUGGAAUUCCUGAUGUAGCGGUGAAAUGCGCAGAUAUCAGGAGGAACACCGGUGGCGAAGGCGGGUCUCUGGGCCGAUAUUGACGCUGAGGAGCGAAAGCGUGGGGAGCGAACAGG